rnacentral:rRNA from 1 species
UACGUAGGGGCCAGCGUUGUUCGGAAUUACUGGGUGUAAAGGGUUCGUAGGCGGUGUGGCAAGUCGGGAGUGAAAUCUCUGGGCUCAACUCAGAGACUGCUUCCGAAACUGCUGUGCUGGAGUGUGGGAGAGGCGCGUGGAAUUGCAGGUGUAGCGGUGAAAUGCGUAGAUAUCUGCAGGAACACCCGUGGCGAAAGCGGCGCGCUGGACCACUACUGACGCUGAGGAACGAAAGCUAGGGGAGCAAACAGG